GACAGAGGGUGCAAACGUUGUUCGGAAUUACUGGGCGUAAAGCGCGUGUAGGCGGCUCGGCAAGUCGGGUGUGAAAUCCCACGGCUCAACCGUGGAAGUGCAUUCGAAACUGCAGGGCUAGAGUCCUGGAGAGGAAGGUGGAAUGCUUGGUGUAGAGGUGAAAUUCGUAGAUAUCAAGCGGAACACCGGUGGCGAAGGCGGCCUUCUGGACAGUGACUGACGCUGAGACGCGAAAGCGUGGGGAGCAAACAGG
rnacentral:rRNA from 1 species